rnacentral:rRNA from 1 species
AUUGAACGCUGGCGGCAUGCUUUACACAUGCAAGUCGAACGGUAACAGGCCGCAAGGUGCUGACGAGUGGCGAACGGGUGAGUAAUGCAUCGGAACGUGCCCAGUCGUGGGGGAUAACUACUCGAAAGAGUAGCUAAUACCGCAUACGGUCUAUGGAUGAAAGCGGGGGACCGUAAGGCCUCGCGCGAUUGGAGCGGCCGAUGUCAGAUUAGGUAGUUGGUGGGGUAAAGGCUCACCAAGCCAACGAUCUGUAGCUGGUCUGAGAGGACAACCAGCCACACUGGGACUGAGACACGGCCCAGACUCCUACGGGAGGCAGCAGUGGGGAAUUUUGGACAAUGGGCGCAAGCCUGAUCCAGCAAUGCCGCGUGCAGGAAGAAGGCCUUCGGGUUGUAAACUGCUUUUGUACGGAACGAAACGGCUCUGGUUAAUACCCGGGGCUAAUGACGGUACCGGAAGAAUAAGCACCGGCUAACUACGUG